rnacentral:misc_RNA from 1 species
CGCCUCUCUCAGUCUCUGUCUCUAAAACCCACUCUCUUUAAAAGAAUCCACCAAUAAAGGAAGGACUAAACUAAUCCAAUAAACAGAAAGAAAUAUCAUUAAACUACUAAUUCAUGGCUUUGCUUGUCUCUGCCUCUUGCAUGCCCAAAUCUUUACUGUCACCAGCGCCACUGAAACAUAUCUCCCUCAAAGCCCCUACCCUUUCGUUUACUAGUGGAGAACUGCCAAAGAGAACCAAGAAGUUCUCUCCUUUUCAUGUGGCAGCACCCCCGUCACCAUCUAUUCAGAAAGAAGAGGAGGGAGAAGAUAAAGAAGGAGACUUUAGAGUUGAUGAUGAGACUGGAGAGGAGAGUUCUGAUUCCAAGUUCUCUUGGAGGGAUCAUUGGUACCCGGUUUCUUUGGUUGAGGAUUUGGACCCCAGCUUGCCAACCCCGUUUCAGCUUCUGGGUCGAGACUUAGUUCUUUGGUUUGAUAAGG